UACCUUCUUCUUAGCGCCA
rnacentral:misc_RNA from 1 species